rnacentral:rRNA from 1 species
GACGAACGCUGGCGGCGUGCUUAACACAUGCAAGUCGAACGGAAAGGCCCUGCUUUUGUGGGGUGCUCGAGUGGCGAACGCGUAAGUAACACGUGAGUAACCUACCCUUGACUUUGGGAUAACUUCAGGAAACUGGGGCUACUCCCAGAUCGGAUAUCCUGCUGCGGGGUGGGGAGUGGAAAGUUGCGGCGGUUGGGGAUGGACGCGCGGCUGAUCGGCUAGUUGGUGGGGGAGUGGCUUACCAAGGCUUUGACGGGUAGCCGGCCUGAGAGGGUGAACGGCCACAUUGGGCCUGAGAGACGGCCCAGAGGCCUAUGGUAGGCAGCAGGGGGGAAUAUGGCACAAUGGGCGGAAGCCUGAUGCAGAAACGUUGCGUGCGGGAAGCCGGUUUGUGGGGUGUAAACCGCUUUCGCUUGUGACGAAGCGGGAGUGACGGUAAUGGGUAAAGAAGCACCGGCUAACUACGUG